UACGUAGGCAGCAAGCGUUGUUCGGAAUUACUGGGCGUAAAGAGUGUGUAGGCGGUGCUCUAAGUCUGUUGUGAAAUCUCCCGGCUUAACCGGGAGGGUGCGGCGGAAACUGGAGUGCUUGAGGGUGGGAGAGGUAAGCGGAAUUCCUGGUGUAGCGGUGGAAUGCGUAGAUAUCAGGAGGAACACCUGUGGUGUAGACAGCUUACUGGACCACUUCUGACGCUGAGACACGAAAGCGUGGGUAGCAAACAGG
rnacentral:rRNA from 1 species